ensembl:lncRNA
CAUUUUUUGGCUGGAAUAUGGCGGCAGGCCUAAAAGGAGUCAUGGUCUGAAUGGGGGGCAUCGCGAGUGGAUUUGCAUAAUCUGUGGCGUGGCACUGGUGCACAGACACAGAGAGAGACGGUGCCAACCAGUCCAAGGUUAGAGCUCCAUCCUGAGGUAACACGUGGAGAGGUCCGGAGGUUGUGGUCCUCAUUGUUCACUCAGCAGGAUGGAUCUGUGGACUUUCAACAGUUUAUACGUCACUUUGGCCCGUCUCCCAAAUCCUGCUGUUACCCCAAUGCCAAGCACAAUCCCCCCAAACGUGGAGACAAUGACUUUAUGCGCCUCUCCAAAAGACUCAACUGCGUCUCAGAUAUACUAGUGGAUGCUCUACGGGCCAAGGUGGAGUUGUCUGUUUCUGAGCUCUGGACUGAGUUCUCCGAAAUGGAUUUUUCUGGAACAGGUUUUGUUAGCAGUGAUGAAUUUAAAGACAUCCUUAUGAGUCUCUGUGUUCAUCUCAGCCAGCAUGAGUGUGAUCUGUUGGCCAAGAAGUUUGACAUCAACCAUGAUGACAGGUAGAUACACUUACAUUAGGGAAGA